GCUGGGAUUGUAGCACUGACAGUAAGAGCAUAAGUGCACAUCAUGACAGAAGUAGACUGGAAACGUUCACCAGAACACCACUGACUUUAUUUCUGUUCUCAAAGGUGUGAUGCUUCCAGAAUGUCCAAGAACACAGUGUAAGAGGAGGCAGCAGAGGCAAUGAAUAUGACCAGGAGGUUUUGCUGUUCAGUGAGCAUUGUGAGAAACGUGUCAGUACCUAAAAGGCAAAUUCAGUUUCCAGCACCACUACAUUGUUCCAGUACAGCUGAAAAAGUGAACAGUACCAGCACGUCUAUUUCUAAGCAUCAUCAUGUACAAGAAAAAAAAAGGCUUCUGCUUUCACGGGGUUUGUGGUGAACACAAGGAAGUUGUCUGGGUUUUGCUCACCUGGGUUCCAGAGCAGCUGCACACCGAUGCUCACCCUCCUCCUCUCGCCUCCUGAAACGCCACGGAGGUACUCGUUCCCUACCCUCGUGUUCGCGCACUGCCGCAACCGUAGCUCUGCUAUUACAUCUUCCACCUGGG
rnacentral:lncRNA from 1 species